rnacentral:rRNA from 1 species
CAGCCGCCGCGGUAAUACGAACCGUGCGAACGUUAUUCGGAAUCACUGGGCUUAAAGCGCGUGUAGGCGGAUGGGAGCGUCGGCCUCUGAAAUCCCCCGGCUCAACCGGGGAAGUGGAGCCGAAACGACCCGUCUGGAGGGACGUAGGGGGACCUGGAACUUCCGGUGGAGCGGUGAAAUGCGUUGAGAUCGGAAGGAACGCCCGUGGCGAAAGCGAGGUCCUGGACGUCUGCUGACGCUGAGACGCGAAAGCCAGGGGAGCGAACGGGAUUAGAUACCCCCGUAGUCCCUGACUCUUAUU